rnacentral:rRNA from 1 species
UGGUCAAGUUAUUAAGGGUGCAGGGCGGAUGCCUUGGCACUAGGAGCCGAUGAAGGACGUGAUAAGCUGCGAUAAGCUUCGGGGAGUUGCACGUAAACUUUGAUCCGAAGAUUUCCGAAUGAGGAAACUCACUUAGAGUAAUGUCUAAGUAUCAUUAAGUGAAUACAUAGCUUAAUGAGGGGAACUCAGGGAACUGAAACAUCUAAGUACCUGAAGGAAGAGAAAGAAAUUCGAUUCCGUAAGUAGCGGCGAGCGAACGCGGAUUAGCCCAAACCAAUAAAGUUUUCUUUAUUGGGGUUGCGGACAUAUCAUAACGAAGAGGUAUCGUAAUUGAAGAGGUUUGGAAAGACCCACCACAGAAGGUAAUAGUCCUGUAUGUUAAACGAGAAGACUUUAGAUAUGAUCCAGAGUACCACGGGACACGUGAAACCCUGUGGGAAGCAGGAGGGACCACCCUCCAAGGCUAAAUACUACCUAGUGACCGAUAGCGUAUAGUACCGUGAGGGAAAGGUGAAAAGAACCCCGGGAGGGGAGUGAAAUAGAACCUGAAACCCUGCACUUACAAGCUGUGGAAGCACAUUGCUUGUGUGACCGCGUACUUUUUGUAGAACGGGCCAACGAGUUACGUUAAGUAGCAAGGUUAAGCACUUAAGGUGCGGAGCCGUAGCGAAAGCGAGUUUUAACUGAGCGUUCAGUUACUUGACGUAGACCCGAAACCGGGCGACCUACCCAUGAGCAGGAUGAAGCGAAAGUAAAAUUUCGUGGAGGUCCGAACCCACGAGCGUUGAAAAGCUCGGGGAUGACUUGUGGGUAGCGGUGAAAUUCCAAUCGAGCCCGGAGAUAGCUGGUUCUCCCCGAAAUAGCUUUAGGGCUAGCCUCAAGGUGAGAGAUACGGAGGUAGAGCACUGAAUGUCCUAGGGGGUAUUGCACCUACCGAAGACUAUCAAACUCCGAAUGCCGUCAUCUUAUACUUGGGAGUCAGACUGUGGGUGAUAAGAUUCAUAGUCGAAAGGGCAACAGCCCAGAUCGUCAGCUAAGGUCCCUAAAUGUAAGUUAAGUGGUAAAGGAUGUGGGAUUGCACAGACAACCAGGAUGUUGGCUUAGAAGCAGCCACUCAUUCAAAGAGUGCGUAAUAGCUCACUGGUCGAGUGAUCCUGCGCCGAAGAUUUCCGGGGCUAAAACUUACUACCGAAGCUACGGCAUCAGUAAUGAUGGGUAGGGGAGCUUCCCAUACGGGUUGAAGCAUGACCGUAAGGACAUGUGGACAGUAUGGGAGUGAGAAUGUUGGCAUGAGUAGCGAGAUGUGGGUGAGAAUCCCACAGGCCGUAAACCCAAGG